UUCAAUAAUGAAGAGAUGGGUCUGACUGUA
rnacentral:piRNA from 1 species